AAGAUCUCAGGAGUAAAGGAGCAUAGGCCCAGAGAGAAAGGCCACACUUGGCAUUUGAGCUGAGGUUUGAGGAGCGACUGAAGCUCGCAACGCUCCCAAGGCACGGGCAGGGGUCCGGGAGCAGCAGCCGUGAGCCCGGAGGCCCACAAGCUGCUCGGCAGGAGUACAGCGUUCCAGGCAGGGGCGAGGGCCUCCCGGAGCUGGAGAGUGGUCUGUCACAGAUGAAGGGGACACCACACGGGGACCUAUUGUACCAGAGGAAAGAACGUCGCUUUUAUCCUGGUGCCAGUGGGUGAGCCACCGGAGAUUUGGGAGCAGGCUUAUCUGGGUGGUGUAAACGUCCAUGUGGUGGUGGAAAAAAAAAAAAAAAAAAGCAGUUAAGUGCUUGCCAAUCAACUCAGUGGAAACAGAACUAAGUUUGCAACCCUAGCAGCUUCUAUUUCAGUCGUGUGACUCACCCCAUCAUGGUGCCGAGACGACGAGGGCCGGUGCUCUCCUGUAAACACCUGUUCCACCCCUGGCGUGCAGAAACGCUGGGGUUGGUGAGCUCACGCACACGGAAUGUGGGGAGAGCUCCUCAGAGAAGGGAACCAGAGACAUUCCAGAUAUGACUAUCGCCCCCCCUGGCCGUCUGGAAGUCCGCUUUCUAGCAAACCCAAGGGUUCAGAAGCCAGAAACUUCAAAAUCAGGAAGAAGAAAGAAAGAUGUUUGGCUGGGGAGAGGGCAGGAAGCAGAUAGGGAAGUGGCUGUACGGUUGGAGAUAACGCAAAGCAGGAUACGCCUGGCCCGGGGGAAAGUUUGUGCUCCUCCGACGAAUGACAGGCAGGGCCGCGCCACCCGGCUGGGACCCGCAUAGGACGGGCGCGAUGCCGGGGGCGGGAUGAGCAGGAGAGACGGGAAGGAAGGCAGCAGAUGGGCAGGGAGCCUCAGAGCCCAGAGCGUCCAGGAGAGCGGUGAGCAGCUGGGCCACCGGGGACAUGGAAGGCCAGGAGGACGGUUUGCAGGAAGUCCUGCCGAUCAGGGAGUGGGAUCAUCCUCUCGGGCACCGGGGACGCGGCCGAUGUUUCUCAGCGGUGGUGUGAACACGACAGAUGCUCCAGGAGGACCUCCCGGUCUGGCUGCAGGGGCGCAGAGCAGUGCACUUGCAACCACCUGCUGGAGGCAGGUCCCGAAGGCCUCCUGAGCCAGUCGACCCUCCGUCAGAGAGCUCACACCUCGGAGGAAUCCCCAAAUGCUCUCAUGAGCCUUCACAGCCAGCUGAAGGCACCGCGUCUGGAGUCACAAGGGACGGGAGGGACGCAGGCAGUGGGGACUGUCCUUGGAGGGUCCACCCCUGCACGCAUCUCAGCAUGAGAACCCAGCUCUGGGAUAUGUGGGAUUGCACACGCACAGGCACACGCACUCGCACUCGGGACUCCAGAGGACUCCCACGGUCUUAAGCAAGCGCUCUGACACCCCUGCCCUCCCGCGGCUGCAGCUUGGCGGGAGCUGGGGCAGCAGGUGGCCGCGGGCAUGCCUCAGUCACCCCCCGACCCUGGGUCCCCACACAGCCCCCUCCCACUCCUGGCUCCCAUCCUCUCUGGAACUCCACACUUCUUUGCAUCAGUUACUUGACAGGUUGACAUUUCCCCCAUUUCUCCGAUGGGCCAUGACCGUGGGGCGGGUUUUCAGCAGUGCGGUGUCCUGGCGUCCGCGCUUGGCCGACCCACGGGUGCAGGGUGAACAAGCGGGAGAAUGAGGAAAUCCUCCCUCCCUGUAAUACCGUCUCCUCCCGCAGACGUCCUCGUGCACCUCUCCCUUCCAGCCUCGCCGUCACGGGCACAGACAGGUGGGCUGGGAUCCUUGCUGCCGUUUCUUCUGGAGAAGCAGGAUCUAGGUCUUUCCUUGUCGGCUAGUUUUCAGGGGUGCUCGCUACAGAAGGAAGGCUGCGAGGACGACAGGGGUCCUUGCCCACCCACCCUCCACUGUCAGUGUGACUCGGUUUCCUUGCCAUGUCUGGUGUCCGAGAAGGUGUUCCUCCCUGGAUGGUGGAGGGGAGCAUGCAAAGCUCCCUGCAAAAACUGCAAAGCAUGCACGUGGGCUCAUUUCCCUCUCUGUGCCCUGGGGAGAUGGUGCCUGCCAUCAAGAAGCGUCCCUGCGGCGAUCUCCAGGGGGUCAUACUCUGGCCGGCCCUCCCUGCUGCCUCAGACCCACGGGGCAGUGGGCCUUCCUCUGUGCCCCCCACGACCUGCCUGCCUCCUCUCGGAAGAACUGAAUGCAGAUCGCCUUGUCUGUUUUCUGGAGUGUUCCUUGUGAUCUUUUGGGGAUGUGACAUUUGCAGCCUCAGUAAAGCGUUUUAGAAAUUGUUUUA